AUAUUAAGGCAAAAAUUGCAUAUUGCCUUCUUGCGUACACGUGUCUCUGUCUGACAAGCUGACUGCUUGAUUUUGACAUUCGGAAUCCCAUCUUGCAUUCUUACAUGUACAUGCCUUUAUUUGAUAUUCAGUUUGAUUUGAUUUUGCCUGCUUCAUAUAUUCGUCUCGCUUUCGGACAUGCUGUAAUCUGAUAUACUACUUCAUCAUACUGACUAGUGGUUCCGUACAUCUUGCCUUCUCGGACCGUCAAUGGUGUAUACUAACAUCUAGCUAUCGGACAUGCUGUAAUCUGACAUACUACUUCAUCAUACUCAAAUAGUGGUUACUUACAUCGUGCCUUCUUGGAACGUCAAUGGUGUAUACUUCUUAGUGAAAACAACUUAAGAAGUUUCUUAACUAUGUGAUUGCAAGGAGCUGGGUUAUGAAAUAAUUUCAGUGCAUUCUUAAAUUCUUGUUCAGGUGGAGAUAACCCUUUGUACGGAAACACACGAACUGUACCGAGAGUGUUAAGACUACACGUCCGGUAACCGCACUAAACACCAUAUAUUCCUAUUUGAAUCCAAGUAAAAUGAGUAUAUUUUUCGAGACUCUACCUUUAAUCGGAUAUAUAAAUAGCGCGCUAUAAAUAGCAUACAGAACAGAAUUAUGUCAUCACCUGAGUACUAGUCGAAUAAUUACACGUUCAUACAUGUAUUGUUUUAUAUUUGUGACGCUGACGGGCAAUCUAAUUGGGUAUAUUGCCUAUAUGAAAAAAAUAUCACAAUAUUUCCCGGGAUCGCGUCAAAUUAGUUGGACUACUGUUGCUUAUUCAAAGGAGACAUAAUAUCUAACAUUUUGAGAAAUAGCGCUGUGGUCAGCAUUUGUCUCACGUGAACUGUGGAGACAUUUGGAUACUGUACCUAAAUGUUCAUCACAAAGUGCUGGUGUUUUGAUAUCUACCAGAGCAGACGGCAACAGAAUUGGAGAUUACCCAAAUCUAAAGAUGUUGAGGAGUACAAGAAACAACAAAAAAGCUAUGAAAAACAAAUGAAAUAAAAACAACGUGAAAUUAUAUUGAAUCAUGGCCCUGGGUUCCAAACCGUUCGACAACAACGAAAAAAAACAACUUUUUUUUAGCUCACCAUAGCACAGACUGCUUAAGGUGAGCUAUUGUGAGUGACCGGCGUCCGUCGGCGUGCGUCUUGCGUAAACAUUUGCCUUGUGAACACUCUAGAGGCCACAUUUAUGACCCAAUCUUUAUGAAACUUGGUCAGAAUGUUAGUCAUGAUGAUCUCUAGGUCAAGUUUGAAAGUGGGUUAUGUGGGGUCAAAAACUAUGUCAGUAGGUUAGAUCAAAGAAAAUGCCUGUGAACACUCUAGAGACCACAUUUUUGACCCAAUCUUUAUGAAAAUUUGUCAGAAUGUUAGAAUGUUAGUCUUGAUAAUCUCUAGGUCAAGUUUGAAAUUGGGUCAUGUGGAGUUAAAACCUAGGUCA